rnacentral:rRNA from 1 species
UACGAAGGGGGCUAGCGUUGUUCGGAAUUACUGGGCGUAAAGCGCACGUAGGCGGAAUGUUAAGUCAGGGGUGAAAUCCCGGGGCUCAACCCCGGAACUGCCCUUGAUACUGGCAUUCUCGAGUCCGGAAGAGGUGAGUGGAAUUCCGAGUGUAGAGGUGAAAUUCGUAGAUAUUGGGAGGAACACCAGUGGCGAAGGCGGCGACCUGGGCAGAUACUGACACUGAGGUGCGAAAGCGUGGGGAGCAAACAGG